rnacentral:rRNA from 1 species
UACAUGGGGUGCAAACGUUGCUCGGAAUUAUUGGGCGUAAAGCGCGCGUAGGCGGUUACUUAAGUCGGAUGUGAAAGCCCUCGGCUUAACUGAGGAAGUGCACCCGAAACUGGAUGGCUUGAAUCCGGGAGAGGGAUGCAGAAUUCCAGGUGUAGCGGUGAAAUGCGUAGAUAUCUGGAGGAAUACCGGUGGCGAAGGCGGCAUCCUGGACCGGCAUUGACGCUGAGGAGCGAAAGCUAGGGGAGCAAACGGG